rnacentral:lncRNA from 1 species
GACAUUACAGAAAUGGAUUUAGAAAAUAAAAUGACUCAAAGCAAAUGAUUCACCGAAUAAAGAUGAGAAUAAGACUCAAAUCAAAAAUGCAAAGGCACAGAACAAAUCAUAAAACUCAAGACAGUGAAGAAAUGUAAAGCACAACGCGAAAGUGAAAUAAACUCAACAGAUACACGAAUCAAAUUUAACUCAGAAUAGACAAAACAAAUCAGAGACAAUGAACAAAUAAGAAUCACGAAUCAAAUGAAACAAAUACAACUAAGACAACACAUACCAGAAACGAAAAACAGAGACAUGAAUCAAAACAAAAAUACGAAACAUAAAACUAAGAACAGACAGAGAUACUUAGCUUUGACGCGUGGACGUAACCGAAGCUCUGACUACCACUUGAUGGAAGAGGCCUUGAGGAAGAGGACCGAUAGGCGACGCAAGCUCGAUCCAAAUCUCCUCGAAGCUUCUCCGACACAGAAGACACAGCGGAAUGAUGAAGGAAGCUCUAGAUUGGUAAGAAAUCGGAAGAGAUCAAAGAGAAACCCUAAAACCAUGAACGAACCCUAGAAAAGAGGGAANNN